GUCUUUUAUUGAAGGGACUCUUAUUUUGAUAAUUGUAGACUGUAUUUCGACGUACAUCCAGUAGGAGGCAUUAUUGUACUGGUUUGCUGCCUGAUGACUGCUUGUAUUAUUACUGAGAGAACGGCAGCUGUGCUCAAGGUAUCCUCAGCUGCGCACCGAAGUUUUCCUGCCUGUUAUUUUGGAUGUUUGUCGGCGUUUGGUGUUUCAAAGUGUUAGUUCAUGACCAUAAAACUCAUUUUGAAUACACUUUGGAAAGAAGCUCCAGUCUCCUCAUUCAUUGUGUCCUGACCGACACACCAGGAGUGUAUACUGCUGAUAAUUAGAACCCAAGCCUAGCAGUCUCUUUCCUCUCCAACAACUGGUCCUUCGAGCCGGAGGCUGUGUUCAUUCAGGGCACCAUGGAAUCUGAUGAGGAGAUCGUUGGAACAUCCAGACCAAAACGGCAAACACGUCCACCAGUACGUCUCCAUGACUUCGAAGUGCAGUAUGUAGGUGGCAGAGCUGUAACGGAACCUGCUAUUUCACCCCACUGGGAGGUACCAGCCCCUUUGACACCUCUCCAGUCAUCAUGGCACAAUCCUAAUUACCUCUGUGAUGAUGCUGCGCUUCCCACAGGCCCUCGGUUGAGAUCACCAAGCUUCAGUUCUGCAGAGCAUAGUGAAAACCUUCCUCAGUCAUUCAUGUCAGCCCAGCAGCCCAGAUACCCUAAGCCUGAGUACUAUAAUGAGCUACAAGCCAUUCUCAGAGAGAAUGCACAGCUGCUGCAGACACACCAAGCCUUUCGUGAUGACAUGAUGGAGUUGAAAGCAGUUAGUAUUGAGUUCAAAGAACUAGUUAAAGUUGCUCAAGCCUUGAGAGCAGAGCUCAGUCCAAGUUAAAGCCAUGAUAGUCCUCCAGUGCGAUCAGAUCCCAAAUUGCCAUCCCGUCCUUCCUGCCACGUUGACCAGACAGAGCAGGCCACACCAGCUGAGGAUAAAGAAUGGCCUGAGCUUCCACCCUGGCCUGAGCCCGAGUUAGAACUGAGAAGGGGCAUGGAGACUUUAAAGUUAUCAAAACCCUGCACAGCUACAUACCAACGAGAGGUACCGAGGUACUCGAAGGCCUCCAAGUCUCAAUCUUCCCAAUCAUAUCUGCCUCCUCAGUAUUAUUCUCAAAGUACAGAUGUGCUACCUCCGCCACCAACCCCUGAAGACCUCAGAGAGUUGUUAUCCUCAACUGCACAGUCCUUAUAUCGGAAACCUUCACAGGUUCAAAUCCCAGUUUCUUCUCCUCGAUAUGGAGCCAUGCCAGCUCAGCCAAGUCAUCCAACACCUGCAGUUAAAGUAGAGUCCAAUAUACCACAUUUUACCCACACCUCAGGGUCAGAGUAUGUCUAUAGAGGGCCUACCCCUACCAUCCCCAAGUUCAGCCGGCCAGAUCCAAGCGAGUUCGCCAGACUUCGAAUUGCCUUAGAGAAUUUGCUUCCUCCAGAUGGGACUGAACUCUUUAAGUAUCAAAUACUGGUGGACCAUUUAAAGUUGGAUGAAGCUAAGCUGAUUGCGGAUGCCUUUCUGAACUCGCCAACCCCAUUUACUGACACCAUGGUGGCCCUCCAUGAGAAGUUUGGUCAGCCCCACCAACUAGCAUUGAGGAAAAUUGCCAGUGUUUUAGAAGCUCCUGAUGUAAGGCGUGGGGAUACUGUUGCAUUUCAAAAGUUUGCUCUGCAGGUACAGUCGUUGGUGGGUUUGUUGAAAACUUUAGGACCUGAAGGUGACAUUGAAUUGAAUUGUGGGUCACAUGUGGCACGCCUUGUGAGUAAACUUCCUACUGAGCAACGAGCUGAGUUCCGCCGUCACAUGUUCUGGCAACCUGGAACUGUACCUACUCUGCACGACCUUUCAAACUGGCUCCGCUAUGAAGCUUGGUGUCAUGACUUUGAUGUUGAAAUUGUCUCACGAGGAGUCCAAGACCGUCAGACUUUCCGACCUGUACAGAGUAAAAGGACUGUAGCCGUUCUUCAUGGAGUUGGAGAGGCUCAUAAUUUAACUUCCCUAUCACCUCAGAAGGGUACUACUCAAAGGACCAAGUCAAGUGAAAUGAAACGGUUCUGCCCAUUCUGUGAUAGCACAGAGCUUUAUUUGAGUCAAUGCAAAGCAUUCGCUAAACUUACCACUGAUCAGGCCAAAGACUGGAUUCGAGAAAAUAAUCGUUGUUGGCGCUGUGCCAGGACUCACCACGCUGCUCAGUGUGACCUGAAGAAGCCCUGCAACCUAUGUCAAGGCAAACAUCUUCGACCUCUGCACAAUGUAAACGUUAGAUCUUCCCAAGAGGAUACAGUUAGUAGUGAGAAAACCUGCCUUACCAAUUCCUCUCCAGACAGAUUUUACCUGGACAAACCAGUGGUUGGGAACCGUGUAAUGCUGAAGGUAGUACCUAUCCAUGUUCAUUAUGAAGACCGCACUUUAGAUACAUUUGCACUUCUGGAUGAUGGCUCUGAGAGGACCAUCUUGCUCCCUACUGCUGCCAAAGCCCUCGGUAUACAGGGUACACCUGAAGAUCUCUCCUUGCACACUGUUCGACAAGACAUUGAAGUUCUUCGUGGGUCAUCUAUCUCCUUUCAAGUAUCCUCAACCCACAAGCCUCAAAUUCUUUACAAAAUUGAACAUGCCUUCACUGCUGAUCGCCUCAAUUUGUCACGACAGUCUUAUCCUGUGGAUCAUCUGCAGAAGAAGUAUCACCACAUACAUGGUCUUCCCAUCCUGCAAAUUAAAGAUGUUCAGCCUCUACUUCUGAUUGGGUCAGAUCAGCCCCAUCUCAUUACCCCAAUUGAACCUGUCAGAUUAGGUUCUCCAGGUGGACCUGCUGCUGUCCUCACACUCCUGGGAUGGACCCUCCAGGGCCCUGCAUCAUUCAUGGGGCGGCCUGCAUCCUCCCAACAAUGCCUGCUGACAUCAGUCCUUCCACCUCAAGAUGAGCUCUUUAAGAAUGUCCAAAGGCUCUGGCAGAUGGAAACUGUUCCACACAGAGAUGAGAAAGAGGUGACUCGAUCUAAACAAGAUCAGGAAGCUUUAAAGUUACUCGAAACCAAGACCAUCCACACCGAAGUCAAAGGCAUUCUUCGACUUGCAACACCCUUGUUACGGCAGAAAGAUAUGCCUAUGUUGCAUGCCCCUAAGGAAUCAGUCAUGCCUAACCUGCGCAGUAUUGAGAAACGUUUGUUGAAGGAUACGGUGAAAGCAGAGAUCUACAGAGCUGAGAUGGAGAAGCUCAAGCAGACAGGAGCUGUCCAGGAAGUAAAUAAAGAAACAACAGACUCAGAGGAAUGUUGGUAUAUACCUCACCACAUUGUCAGUCAUAAGGGGAAAUCUCGUGUGGUUUUCAACUGUUCCCACCAAUUUCAUGGGCAGAGUCUCAAUCAGUAUCUGCUGCCUGGCCCUACACUUGGCGCAUCAUUGCUAGGUGUGCUCAUCAGAUUUAGGGAGCAUUCAGUCGCAGUAAGUGGUGACAUCAAGGUGAUGUUCCAUCAGGUCCGCCUCCUUCCCAAAGAUCGUCCCCUACUGCGUUUCCUGUGGCGUGAUCUGAAAGUGGGAGAACCACCUAAAGUUUUCGAAUGGCAGGUGUUACCAUUUGGCACUGCAUGCAGUCCGUGCUGUGCCACUUAUGCUCUGCAGCGCCAUGUGACCGAGCACAGUGUGGCUGAUGAGUCCAUCAGGUUCUCAGUAGAGAAAUGUUUUUAUGUGGACAAUUGCCUUCAGAGUCUGAGCACCCCUGAAGCGGCGAGGUGUCUGGUUGAUGGAUUGAGAGAGAUGCUUUCUACAGCUGGAUUUGAGAUACGACAGUGGGCCAGCAAUGUUCCCGGAGUUCUGAGUCAUUUACCCACAGAAGCUCAAGCUGAGAGCUUGGAACUUUGGUUAGCUCAAGACAAGACUGACAUAUCAGAAUCAACCUUAGGUCUACACUGGAACUGGCAGACUGAUAAACUGUCAUUCAAGAGCUGACCUGUCGUGUAUAAGACUCCCACCCUCAGGAACAUCUACAAGGUCCUAGCCACUCAAUAUGACCCUCUCGGACUUCUUUUGCCGUACACUACUCGAGCCAAGGUCAUCAUUAGGCAGCUAUGGAAUAAGCAGCGGGGUUGGGAUGAUCCAAACUUACCUCCUGAACUCUUGCAGUCAUGGCACGUCUGGGAGAAUGAACUCCAGUACCUACCAAACAUAACCCUCCCUAGGACUUAUGUCCCUCUUGAGGUGGAGAAGGAUGGUGCCAUACAUGAAGUUCACAUCUUUUCAGAUGCCUCAGAACAGGCAUAUGGAGCUGUGGCAUACAUGAGGACCACUGACAAAAGAGGCCAAGUGUACCUGUCUUUCAUGGUAGCUCGAUCCCGAGUAGCACCCAAACGUUCUCAUUCCAUUCCUUGAUUGAAACUUUGUGGAGCUCUUGUGGCUUUUCAGUUAGCCAGAUUGCUUCAGAGGGAACUGACCUUGCAAAUUGAGACCACGGUGUUGUGGACAGACUCCUCCACUGUCCUUACCUAGCUGAACUCGGAAUCAUGCCAUUACAAAGUUUUUGUUGGCAAUAGAGUUGCCGAAAUCCAGGAGCUAACAGGGAAUUGUUCUUGGCGCUAUGUGGAUUCUGCUAGCAAUCCUGCCGAUGACCUCACCAGAGGCAGACCACUGAAUGUUCUUUCAGGGAUGAAUAGAUGGUCUCAAGGACCUCCCUUUUUACUCCAAGAUCCAGCCACCUGGCCAGUAAUGCCAGGAACAGACCUGACAGAUGACCCCACAGAGCUACGGAAGUCUGCAUUUUGCGGUACCGCUGCAGUACCACCCCGAUCCAGUAUACCGGAUGCUUGGAACUAUCACACCUGGCAAGAACUCCUGGAUGCCACUGCUAAGGAAAUUCAGGUAAACUCUACCUCUGAUUCCUUUCCCGAUGCAAAUGAUUAUAAUCAAGCGGAGAUCCUUAUUCACAAGCGAGUACAGCAGGAGUCUUUUCCCAAUGACUAUCAACAUUUGGAGAAAGGGAAGCCAGUGUCUGCUGACAGUAAUCUUCUUACCUUAGCUCCUGAACUGGACAGAUUUAGUGGUUUAAUCAGAGUGGGAGGUCGAUUGAGGAGAGCUGAGUCAAUAGAAAAAUGUACCUUACACCCCAUUGUAUUGGACGCUCAUCAUCCAGUCACCCGUCUACUGAUUAAGCAUUAUGAUUGCAAGUUACAUCACCCAGGAGCUGAGCGUGUGUUUGCCGAAAUCCGACGCCAUUAUUGGAUUCUUCGUGGUCGUGAAGCCAUUCGUCGGCACCAGCAUGGGUGUCCAGAAUGUCAGCGUUGGAGGGCACAGCCAACUAUUCCUAAAAUGGCAGACUUGCCUUCUGCCCGUCUCCGUCUCCACAAACCUGCCUUUUACUCAUGUGGUGUAGAUUGCUUUGGGCCAAUGCUUAUUAAAAUUGGGAGAUGCACAGAGAAAUGCUGGGGGAUAAUCUUUAAGUGUCUAACUACUAGAGCGGUGCACUUGGACCUCCUCAGUACCAUGAAUACUGAUUCCUUCCUGAUGGCCUUUAGGCGGUUUGUUGCACGAAGGGGAACACCAAUGGAACUGUGGUCAGACAGGGGAACAAAUUUCAAAGGGGGUGAAAGAGAACUGAGAGAAGCCUUCGCUGAAAUGGCUCCUGACUUACAGAAACAGCUUGCUCGACAGAGGAUACAAUUUCAUUUCAAUCCUCCAGCAGCCCCACAUUUCGGAGGAGUGUGGGAGAGAGAGGUACGAUCGGUAAAGUCAGCCCUUUAUACUACUGUGGGAGCUCAGUCCGUUCCGGAAGAAGUCCUGCUGACAGUUCUCCUAGAGGUAGAAUCUAUUCUUAACUCAAAGCCUUUAGGGUACGUGUCUUCGGAUGUUGCCGACAUUGACCCAGUGACCCCAAACAGUUUGCUCAUGGGGCGGCCAGAUGGUUCCUUGCCACAGGUAAUCUACCCGGAGUCUGAAUUGUUAAGUCGCAGACGCUGGAGGCAUUCGCAAGUCCUGGCGGAUAACUUCUGGUCCAGGUUUAUCCGAAACUACCUCCCAGGCCUCCAGACACGGCAAAAGUGGCAGUCCUCACCCCCAGAUCUAACAGAGAAAACGGUUGUUAUGAUUGUAGAUCCACAGAUGCCUAGGGCCCUCUGGCCUGUUGGACAUGUCAUCAGGACGCACCGCAGUUCGGAUAGACAUGUCAGGUCUGCUGAUGUGGAUAUAAAGGGGCAAGUCUACACCAGACCCGUAGCACGGUUGGUGAUCCUUCCAGCUCUGCCAGAUAACGAAACCCAUCCUACCAACUCAUCCUAAGUUAAGUCGCCUUUUAGUAGGAGCAAAGUUGCACAGCACCUUUGGGGGCGGCUGUAUGAAAGGCUCCUAGAGAAAUUAGGUCUUUUAUUGAAGGGACUCUUAUUUUGAUAAUUGUAGACUGUAUUUCGACGUACACCCAGUAGGAGGCAUUAUUGUACUGGUUUGCUGCCUGAUGACUGCUUGUAUUAUUACUGAGAGAACGGCAGCUGUGCUCAAGUUUUCCUCAGCUGCGCACCGAAGUUUUCCUGCCUGUUAUUUUGGAUGUUUGUCGGCGUUUGGUGUUUCAAAGUGUUAGUUCAUGACCAUAAAGUAAGUUCUCUUCAGUUUACAUAUGUUUUAAAUGCGUUUUGAAGUGUAUUAUUUAACAUUAUAGUUUACACAGGCAUGUAUGGGCAUGUAACGAUUCACGUGUGAUCGUCGAUAGAUAAACCAGAUAUGAUGUGCAAUUUCUACUAAAUACAGCUUUUGAUGUUACAGUUUACAUAGUAAUUGGUUAUGUCUUGAUACUGUGUAAGGAUUAACCAGUAUUGCUACGUUUUUGAUGUUAUUUUAGAAUUGAUAAACGGUUUAAUGGACUUGGAUUUAUUAAUAUAUUAAGACUGAAAACAUUUUGUGGGACCAGAUCAAUAGUUAUAUUGUCUUUAAUUGCAUUCUCUGCAUAUUGAAAACUACAGCUGUUAUUUAGAUUAUAAUGAAAAUGCUGUUAUUCUUGAUUAAGAAGUGUCUGAUUUAUUUGUAAACCUGUUUUACUUAUACUGUUAUGUUUUGUUAUUUUUAGACUAAUUUUGUAUACACUUUGGAAAGAAGAUCCAGUCUCCUCAUUCAUUGUGUCCUGACCAACACACCAGGAGUGUAUACUGCUGAUAAUUAGAACCCAAGCCUAGCAGUCUCUUUCCUCUCCAACAACCUGCGAACAUACAGGGACGGAAACUCAGCUGCAGCAUACAGUGUACAAUGGUGAACACGAUUUCCACAGCCAGUCAUAAAACGUAAAGCUUUUUUAAAAGAUGGUCCGAUGCAUUCAUAAAAAGGAGAUCUCCGUAAUCCAAUAAAGGUAAAAAAGUUGCAGAAAUCAAACGUUUCCUUUUAUAAACAGAGAAACGUGAUUUAUUUCUGAAAAGAAAACUGAGCUUUAGCUUCAGUUUACGUACAACAUGUUCAAUAUGCUGUUUAAAGGACAAAUUUUCAUCAAUAACAAAGCCUAAAUACUUAUAAGAAGAGACCAUUUGGAUUUCUUUUCCAUCAGCUGUUUUUAUUUUAGGAAGCUGAGAGGGUAGCUGAUUUCUGUUUGAGAAAACCAUAGCUUUAGAUUUGUCCGCAUUUAACACUAGUGUCAGCUGAUUUAGAUGAGACUGAACAGCAUCAGUUUUAUAUAAGAGACUUCUAUAAUAGGCCUAUCCAUUAUACAUGAUAGUAGGCCUACCCAUAAUAGUUUGAAUUAUUUUUGUUUUUUCUUUCUUUUUAUUUCUACUGAACAACCUCCUGGUCCCCAUUGGGAAAACGUUCUGCCUAGGCUAUUUCAUUAUAUUUUAUCCAAUGUAAAAUACUGAUUAUUCCAUUUGUCAAAAUUUUAAAGAUGUCAGGGAAGAGGCAAAGGAGCAUUCUUUCAUGCUUUGCUCUAAAAGAUCAGCUCCCUAAAAAGGUGGCUAGGUCAGAGGAGGAGACUGUGGAUAAGAGAGUGGAGGAGGCAGUUAGGGAACCAGUAGAGGAUGGGUCCAUGAAAGAGACUGUGGAGGACACCAUAGAGGAAACAGUGGAGAGCCCACUGGAAACAGGGAGAAAGAGAGGGUUAAGUGGAGCAGCCACCUAUAGGUGUUCCUUUAAGAAGGAGUGGUCAACCCAAUGGCCGUUCAUCACAAUGGGAACCACCAGCUCUUUUUACUGGUGCUCAGUCUGCAGACAAGAGAGCUCCUGUGCCCAUCAAGGUGUGAGGGACAUCAAACCAAGGAACAGGCUCUAAAAUCAGUUAGCAGUGUUGCACAGUUCUACACACCAGCAACUUCUGUUGGAGGCAUGAGUGUACAAGAGGCCAAGACCAGGAGGGCUGAGGUGAAGGUUGCCGUUGCAAUGGUGCAGCACAAUGUUCCAAUUGCCGAUGCUGAACAUUUCAGCCCCUUGUACAAAUAAUGUUUUGGAGACUCCCCCACGGUUCAUAGCUUUCAGAGAGCAAGCACCAAAACAACGUGCAUCAUAAAUGAAGCAGUGGCACCUCAUAUUAAGAAGGAACUGGUGAUGAAGAUGAGAGAGAAUCCCUUCACACUUGUCACAGAUGGCUCAAAUGAUACUGGUCUAGAGUAGAUGAAUCCCCUCACAGUACGAAUAUUUGACAGCAACAAAGUUGUGCACAGAUUCUUUGAUAUGUGCACCACAAGUGAGCGGUACUGUGGAACUGCUGAAGUUAUUUAUAAAAAAAUCAAUGACACCCUGUAGGAAAGCAACAUCCCUUGGAGAAACUGUAUAUCCGGUUUUGAUCCUGAAGAUCUGGCAGUGGAUGUUGGGUAUUGGUUUAAGGGAAGCACCAAUCGUAAAGGUUACCUGGCAGG